rnacentral:rRNA from 1 species
CAGUAGCCGCGGUAAUACGGAGGAUCCAAGCGUUAUCCGGAAUCAUUGGGUUUAAAGGGUCCGUAGGCGGUCUUGUAAGUCAGUGGUGAAAGCCCAUCGCUCAACGGUGGAACGGCCAUUGAUACUGCAGGACUUGAAUUAUUGGGAAGUAACUAGAAUAUGUAGUGUAGCGGUGAAAUGCUUAGAGAUUACAUGGAAUACCAAUUGCGAAGGCAGGUUACUACCAAUUGAUUGACGCUGAUGGACGAAAGCGUUGGUAGCGAACAGGAUUAGAGACCCCAGUAGUCCCUGUCUCUUAUAC